GAUGAACGCUGGCGGCGUGCCUAAUACAUGCAAGUCGAGCGAACGGACGAGAAGCUUGCUUCUCUGAUGUUAACGGCGGACGGGUGAGUAACACGUGGAUAACCUACCUAUAAGACUGGGAUAACUUCGGGAAACCGUAGCUAAUACCGGAUAAUAUUUUGAACCGCAUGGUUCAAAAGUGAAAGACGGUCUUGCUGUCACUUAUAGAUGGAUCCGCGCUGCAUUAGCUAGUUGGUAAGGUAACGGCUUACCAAGGCAACGAUGCAUAGCCGACCUGAGAGGGGGAACGGCCACACUGGAACUGAGACACGGUCCAGGCUCCUACGGGAGGCAGCAGUAGCGAAUCUUGCGCAAUGGGCGAAAGCCUGACGGAGCAACGCCGCGUGAGUGAUGAAGGUCUUCGGAUCGUAAAACUCUGUUAGUAGGGAAGAACAUAUGUGUAAGUAGCUGUGCACAUCUUGACGGUACCUGAACAGAAAGCCACGGCUAACUACGUG
rnacentral:rRNA from 1 species